AUGUAUCAUUAUCGUAAAUUCGAUACAUAUUAUGAAGAAAAUAGUAAUGUAUACAAAGUGUUGGAACAUUUAGAUAUUUACCUAAACAAAUACAGAAGUAAUAUUUUAUCUGGAAAAAAAAAAUAUAUUUUUUAUGUUUGCUCUACUAUUGAUAAAAAAAAGUUAGGUUGGUGGAGUAGUAAUAAAUAUUUCCCUUGUUUUUUUCAUAAAUUUGACAAUAUGUAUAAAUAUCAAAAUAUUGCUAAAAGUAAAUACAAAACAGAUAUAUUCAAAUUGUCUUUAGAACUUUUUUAUGAAAAUUAUCAUAAGGUAGAAGAAGAUUUAAAUUUUUCAAGAAUUUCCAAUAUUCCAUUUUUUAAUUUAUUAAAUAUAAAUAAAAAAAAUGAAAAACAUAAAUUUGUUUAUGAUACAUUAUAUGCUUAUUUUUUAAAAAAAUAUAAAGGUGUUUUAUGGUUAUCCUAUUUUGGGCAUUAUGAUUUAGGGAUACCUUAUUUAAAUAUAACUAAUUUUUGUGAUUUUGACUUAGUAAAAAAAAAUAUCGAUAUAGUAAAUCAAGGUAUAUAUAGAGGUUAUAUUGUUCACUUAUUUUUUAACGAAUCUUUAAUUUUUAAUAGUGUAAGAUUAUUUACAAAAUAUGCAAAUAAUAAAAACACAAAUGAGUUUUUUUCAUUUGUAGAAAAUAAAAACACGAAACAAAAUAAGGAAGAAAUUGACAAGAGAUCAGGUAAAUAUAAUGAAAUGAUUAAAAAAAUGGAUAAAAAUAAAAUAGGUACAACAAAUAACGAUUAUAAUAAAGACGAAUUGGAAAAUGAAUUAUCAACAACUGAUGAUAACGAUUUGAAUAAUAAUUAUACCGGUUUUGAUGAAAAAAACGAUCAUAAUAAAAACUAUGGUGAUAUCAAUAUGAAUAAAAAAAAAAGUUUAAUAAAAAAUAAAUACGACAUUAAUACGAUAGUAGAAAAUAAUGCACAUGUAUCACAAUUUAGUAACUAUGCAUUUAAAUUAUUAGGACAAUGUUUAGAAUAUCUUAUUUCUAAAAUAUCUUCUUUAUCUAUGCUUAUAACAAAUAAAAGUUUUGAAAGUAUAUCUGAUAUUUUUACUUCUUUUUAUUCAUGGGUUUCUAAUAAUUCUAGUUUACUUUAUGAUGUUGCUUUAUAUAAUAAAGUAAUUGAAUGUUCAGAAAUGUAUCAAAAUAAUUUAAUAAAUAUUUUGAAAAAACAAUUUAAUGCUAAUAUUAUUUAUGCAGAUUUACGUAAUUUUGUAAUAUCAUUUAAUGAAUUUUCAGUUAUAUCUGGUCGUAAUAUUUUAAAAAAUUUAAUAAAAUAUUUUUCUCAUAAAGAUUCUAUUUAUGCAAAUGUACCAUUUUAUAUAAAACAUGAAUAUAUAGCAGCUUGUCAAUUUGAUAGAUACAAUUUUAUACGUUAUAAAGAAUAUACUAAUCCUAAUGAAGAAAAUACAGAUGAAAAUUUAAAAAUUAUUGAAUAUUUACCACCUAUAUGUGAAACUUUUUUAAGAUAUAUUUUAGACAUGAUUAUUUUAAAUCCAUUACAAGAUAUAAUAACUUCAUACGAUCCAACACAAGAAUCUAGUGAUGAUACUACAACAGCUUCUUUAAGUAAUGGUAAAAGAAUGUGUGACGACAGUAAAGAAGAUGACAAUAAAAACAUGGGAAUAGUAUUAGGUAAUAAUAACUACAUACAUAAUAAUAUUGAUAAAAACCACAACAAUAACAAUAUUAAAACAAUUUUACAUUCUUAUGAAAAAAAAAAUCAUUAUAAUACAAUACUAAAGACAGAUAAACUAACAGAUAAAAUAAAUUUAGUACAAAAAGCAAAUUUAAAAUAUAUUUUUGAUCAAUCUUUUAAUGAGUUACAAGAAGUAUGUGAAAGUUUUCUUUUAAUAAAUGAAAAUGUAGAUGUACUGUCAUACAAAAUUGAAGAAAAAAUAAAAAGUUUAUGGUUUAUUCCUGGAAAUAUAUAUAAAAAAGUAAAAAAAUCUAUUAAAUAUAAAAAAUAUUUAAUUGAAAAUUAUUGGCCAUAUAAUGAAGAUGAUGAAGAAAUGGAAGAAACUAAUAUAAAUGUAGCACCAUUCUUAUUUCCUAAAACAUUAGGAAAUUUAGCAAAAAAAGAUAAUAAUUGGAAACUCGAAAUUGUUAAAUUUUGUAUUUUUCUUAUGCAAAAUGAUAAAUUAUUAAAUUUAGAAAAUGAAAAUUCAAACGAGGCAUUCCAUGAAAAAAGACAUGAAUUAUAUGAAAUCGUAGGAGAAACUGAAUAUAAUUCUAACAGUGCUUUAUGGAAAAGUCCAUGUCAUGAAUUAAUUUUAAAAGAUAUCUUUUGCGAACAUUGUUCAUCUGUUUAUCACAUGAACGUUGUCACAACUCUAGUAGAAGCAGAAAUUAGUGGAAAAAAUACUUUUAUUUGGCUCUGCAAAAAUUGCAAUUCCAAACUCGAUAAUGAAUUUAUAGAGUUGAGAAUUUUGUCUUUAUUGCAGGAGACGUUUGAUGCGUACAACGCACAAGACUUAAUAUGUAACAACUGUAAUGCGAUAAAAUCAGUUCACAGAAGAUUAAUUUGCAAAUGUGGUAAAGCAUUUGCGCCUCGUUUAGAUAUAAACAACUGGAAACAAACUUUAGAUAUAAUAGAAAACUUAGCUACCAUGAUAAAUAUGCCAAUACUAUCAGAUGUAUUAUAUUCUAUGAAAAAUUAUCUUAUCUAAUUUUUUUUUAUUUAUUUAUUUAUUUAUUUUUUUUUUUUUUUUUUGCCUAUAUAUGUAUACAUAAAUAUGUGCACAUAUGCGCGUACCACUAUUCACCAUAAUUUUUAUUUGUUUACGUAUAAAAAACGAAUUCUAUUUUGAAAAAAAUAAUACAUGCUUCUAAUGACAAAUGUGCAUGUAUUAUACAUAUACAUAUAUACCAAACACUUUUUAAUAUGUUAAAUAAUUUUAUUAAGAAAAAAAAAAAAAAAAAAAAAAAAAAAAAAAUUUCCUAUUAACAUAUAAUUACAUAUACAUACGCAUACAUAUAUCGAUGUGUAUAUAUUAAUGAUUAUAACACUUAUGAAUUAUCAUGGCACACACAAAAGUACAAAAAAAAAAAUUGUUUCUUUAAAAGUUAUAUAUAUAGAAAAUUUAGUAUAUUGUUUAAUUAUGGUGCGAACAAAACAAAAAAAUUUUAAAAAAAACAAAAAACUAAAAAUUAAACCUACAUUUUUUUUUUUUUUUUUUUUUUUUUUCUAAUAAUAGUUUUGUUUUAUUUUUUUUACGCGUUGGCAUUCUAUAUCAUUUUAUUGAAUCUAUUGCAAAUGAACUUUCUUUUCAUGAAUUAUGAUCCAGUUUUGAGAAAAAUUUUGUCAUUUGCAUAUUUAUUGUAUAUUAAACGCACAGAUAUAUAUUUACACAUGUCUAUUUAUUUAUGCAUUUAUUUGUUUAUUUAUUUGUUUAUUUGUUUAUUUAUUUAUUUAUUUAUUAAUUUAUUUGUUUAUUUAUUUCUUUGAGUGUGGGUAUUCAACUUCUCUGUAAUCAUUCUUUUAAGUUUUUAAGAUAUGACUGAAUAUCUAGAAACGUUAAAAUUAACGAAUUACACAUAAGUAUAUGUAAUUGCAAUGUAUGUAAUAUAUACAUAUAUAUAUAAUAUAUGUGAACGAUACAUAUUAUUUUUUUUUUUUUUUUUUUUAAAUUUUACCUUGAAUGACAAUAUAUUGCAAGGGAUUCGGUA
ensembl:lncRNA